GGCGAUAUGGCUCAGUGGUAGUGUGCUUGCCUACUUUGCAUAAGACUCUGGGUUCAAUCCCCAGUAUGGCAA
rnacentral:tRNA from 1 species